rnacentral:rRNA from 1 species
AGUGAACGCUGGCGGUAGGCCUAACACAUGCAAGUCGAACGGCAGCACAGUAAUAGCUUGCUCUUACGGGUGGCGAGUGGCGGACGGGUGAGGAAUACAUCGGAAUCUACUUUUUCGUGGGGGAUAACGUAGGGAAACUUACGCUAAUACCGCAUACGACCUACGGUUGAAAGCAGUGGAUCUUCGGACCUUGCGCGAUUGAAUUAGCCGAUGUCGGAUUAGCUAGUUGGCGGGGUAAAGGGCCACCAAGGCAACGAUCCGUAGCUGGUCUGAGAGGAUGAUCAGCCACACUGGACCUGAGACACGGUCCAGACUCCUCCGGGAGGCAGCAGUGGGGAAUAUUGGACAAUGGGAGCAAGCCUGAUCCAGCCAUACCGCGUGGGUGAAGAAGGCCUUCGGGUUGUAAAGCCCUUUUGUUGGGAAAGAAAAGCAGCAGGUUAAAACCCCGCUGUUCUGACGGUACCCAAAGAAUAAGCACCGGCUAACUUCGUG